ACAAAAACUGAAACUCUAAUUUUCCAUGUGGUCACUGGGAGAUCCUGCUUUCUCUGGCGGACAGGCACUUCACCUGUGAGUCGGCUGGGGUGAUAUACUGCGUCCGGUGCUCCUGGUGUGGCCUUCUAUAUAUUGGUCUGUAUGCGGAGAGGAUGAAUUUCAGGAUUAUGUGCUGCAUACAUACUUCGAUAAUAACACACAAGGAAAUCAUCCAACGUCAAGUUGCCUCUGCGGAAGCUCUCAUGUACGCAUGUGAAAGUAGACUGCUGCCAUCUUGGUUCUGGAGGUCAAUAUCCAAAGGGACGUUAAGGGUAUCAAGACAUUUGAGCAGUACUUCCUCCCUCCUGCAGCCCACAAAGAUCGAGGAUAUACUGCUCCUGCAGAAGGCCUCCCUGUAACAUGAAUCUGCAGUCAUCAUUCAUUCAGUCCACAGCUAAGACUCCCUGGAACAAUACCUGGCAAAGGCCAUGCUCCAGAGAAUCUUUAACCAACCCCAUCACUCUCGCACAAAUCACAUUGCAGCCAGAGUGAGAUUAGAUUAGAUUAUAAGGACAUUCAUUCCUUGUUUAUUGUCAUUUAAAAAUACAUGCAUUAAAAAAUGAUACAACGUUCCUCCAGAAUGAUAUCACAAGAAAACGUAGGACAAACCAAGACUAAAACUGACAAAACCACAUAAUUAUAAACAAGUGCAAAGCAAUACCAUAAUUUGAUAAAGAGCAGACCAUGGGCACGGUAAAAAAAAGUCUCAAAGUCCCGAUAGACUCAUCAUCUCACGCAGGCGGUGGAAGGGAGAAACUCUUCCUGCCAUGAACCUCCAAGCGCCGCCAACUUGCCGAUGCAGCACCAUUGGAAGCACCGGACCGCAGCGGACUCUGAGUCCAUCUGAAAACUUCGAGCCUCCAACCAGGCCCCCCGACACAAUCUCUCCGAGCACUUCGACCCCGCCCCGACCGCCAAGCAACAAGCAAAGCCGAGGACUUGGGCCUUCUCCUCCAGAGAUUCUGGACUACACAGUAGCAGCAGCAGCAGAGCAGGCAUUUCAGAAGUUUCACCAGAUGUUCCUCCGUGCUCUCACGUCCGUCUCCAUCAAAUCAGGAUUGUGCACGGCACCCUACUUGACAAAUAACAGACAUCACCACCAGAGUGGCCGCUGCGAGGUGUGUCGUGCCACUUGAGGAUGAGGCAAGCAAAUGGGGGAGACUUACACAGAUACAACAGGCCUAUUAUUUGACCAAAUAACUAAAAUUUAUUUGUUUAUUUGUCCAAGGGCAAAUAACUUGGGAAUGUUUAUGUUGUGUGAGUCUGUCACUGUGGCCAAGCAGACCCUGAGAUAACCAUCAAUAAAGUCAAUAAUUUGGGAAUUAUGAUCAAGGGAGAAUUGAAGGGAGUUUUGUCACCAUAAUCUACAGAUGCACCGGAAAUAUUAGGAUGGUCUCUCACUUCCUUUCCUUCUUACCCCUCAUCCUCCUGCUUCUGGUCUUCCACAUCCUCCCCCGCAGCUGCAAUCAAGGAUACAGCAUGAAUAGUUAUCGGAUCUUGGAGCACACAAGAGUCUCUACAGACUCGUAGCCUUGUUGUGUUGUGUAGAGCAUGCUCCUUUCAGAGUGCCACAAGCAACAAGACCUUUGAUCUGAUGGUCUGCUUAGGUAGGUUACUAUAGAUGAAUGACUACAUUGCAGACAUGUUGUCUAUGCAUCACAUUGAAAUCAAGAACUAAAUGUUGAGAAGAGAGUCCUUAUC